rnacentral:rRNA from 1 species
AACGAACGCUGGCGGCGUGCCUAACACAUGCAAGUCGAACGUGAUCCAGAGCUUGCUCUGGUGAAAGUGGCGCACGGGUGAGUAACGCGUAGAUAAUCUACCUGGUGAUCCGGGAUAACACCUCGAAAGGGGUGCUAAUACCUGAUAAGCCCACGGGGUCUUCGGACUCUGCGGGAAAAGGGGGGGACCUUUAGGCCUUCCGUCAUCAGAUGAGUCUGCGUACCAUUAGCUAGUUGGUAGGGUAAAGGCCUACCAAGGCGACGAUGGUUAGCUGGUCUGAGAGGAUGAUCAGCCACACUGGAACUGAGACACGGUCCAGACUCCUACGGGAGGCAGCAGUGGGGAAUUUUGCGCAAUGGGGGAAACCCUGACGCAGCAACGCCGCGUGAGUGAUGAAGGCCCUUGGGUCGUAAAGCUCUGACAGAGGGAAAGAAGUGCAGGGGAGCUAAUAUCUCCUUUGCUUGACGGUACCCUCAAAGGAAGCACCGGCUAACUCCGUGCCAGCAGCCGCAGUAACAC